AUUUAGAGGAAGGAGAAGUCGUAACAAGGUUUCCGUAGGUGAACCUGCGGAAGGAUCAUUGUCGAAUCCUGCGAAGCAAACGACCUGCGAACUUGUUCACACGCGGGCGCCGGGCGCCGGGGGUCCUCCCCGCGCCCGUCGUCCCCCCCGGCCGGCCGGUGCCUCCUGGCUCCGGGCCGUGCCGAAUAACCAAAAAACCGGCGCGGGAAGCGCCAAGGACUACUCAAAUGGUCUGCCCUCUCGCGGCCCGGCCGUUCGCGGCUUGGGUCGCGGGGGAAAAGGGCGAUCGUCGAAUCUAAAACGACUCUCGGCAACGGAUAUCUAGGCUCUCGCAUCGAUGAAGAACGUAGCAAACUGCGAUACUUGGUGUGAAUUGCAGAAUCCCGUGAACCAUCGAGUUUUUGAACGCAAGUUGCGCCCGAGGCCAUCAGGCCAAGGGCACGCCUGCCUGGGCGUCACGCAUCGCGUCGCCCUCCCCACUCCUCGCCCCGGACGGGACGAGGACCGCGGGUGAGGGCGGAGACUGGCCUCCCGUGCCUUCGCGCGGCCGGCCUAAACCCGGGUCCCUCGCUGCGGGCGUCACGACGAGUGGUGGUUGAAACCCUCAACUCGAAAGCGAGUCGUGCGCGCGCCCCGCGAGCCAGGAGACCGUUAGACCCUGAGGCGAGCGAGCCCCUUGCGAGGAGCGCUCUCCACGACCGCGACCCCAGGUCAGGCGGGGCUACCCGCUGAGUUUA
rnacentral:rRNA from 1 species